rnacentral:rRNA from 1 species
GAUGAACGCUGACAGAAUGCUUAACACAUGCAAGUCUUUGGCGAAGCUGUGCUUGCACAGCCUAGCCAAGGCGGACGGGUGAGUAACGCGUAAGGAACUUGCCCUGCAGUCAGGGAUAACAGACGGAAACGACUGAUAAGACCUGGUAAAGUCAGGCGGACUCAUGUCCAGCCUGAUGAAAAGUGAUGCUGCAGGAGAGCCUUGCGUCCUAUUAGCUUGUUGGUGGGGUAACGGCCCACCAAGGCGAUGAUAGGUAGCCGGCCUGAGAGGGUGGACGGCCACAAGGGGACUGAGAUACGGCCCUUACUCCUACGGGAGGCAGCAGUGGGGAAUAUUGGACAAGGGGGGCAACCCUGAUCCAGCAAUUCUGUGUGCACGAUGAAGGUUUUCGGAUUGUAAAGUGCUUGCAGCAGGGAAGAAAAAAAUGACGGUACCUGCAGAAGAAGCGACGGCUAAAUACGUG